AUUUGUUUGGAUGAUAAUUAUUGAGUUGAAUGAUAAAGAUACUAUGGGAAAAAGGUAGUUAUAAAGUAGAUAUGAAGGAUAAAUAACUCAAGGUGAUCUAUUUGCCUUCUAUUUUGCUACAAGUACCUAUGUCUGUUAGACUUUUACUUUCAAAAUUAGGGUGGGAAGGAAAAGAUUAAAACUUACAUGGGAUCAUGGAAUUGAUGCAGGGCGGCAAUAUUUUCUCCAGUUCCUUUAUACAAUCUGCUAAGGUUGGAGUCAAAGAUGAUCUGCGACUGGAAGGCAUCCUUGAUGCAUUGGCAUGGGGAAACUAUCCACCCAUUGGGGCAAGCGGACAGCUUGAGAUUAUAUAUCCACUGAAGAUAAUGUUAUCUGGUUGGUGAAUACAAUUCUAUUUUCAAGGAACAAAAUUUACAAGGUAGUUUUUUAGUAUUUCAAUGUACAAGUAUUUUUAACUCUAAAAUAAGUAUCAUUUUUUUCUUUUAAAAAUAAGGAUCGACACAUCAGUGAGAUUUACCAUUUUAUAAAACAUUAUUUUUCUUGUAUAUAAAAUAAAAAGUGAUUAUUGUAUAGAUAUUGUAUAGAUUUUUUAUAAAGAUGGCAGAUUCUGAAUCACAUUUUAUAUAAUUUCAAAUGGUUGGUAGGAUUUUUUAAAUUAAUUAAUAAUUACUCAUUUUUUAAUGUUUGAUAAUCUUGUCCCAUCGGUAAAGGCAUGCCAUCUGUUGUUGAUAUAAAUCAAUAUCAUUACUAAUGCUUUUUGGAGGUGAAAGUUGUCUUCUUAAGUAUAUAACAAACUCAUUUCUCAAUUGAUGAUUAUAUGUUCAAUAAGCAAGUGACUGAGUGAGAUCUGUCUUGGAUAAGUAAUUCAAUUGCAAAUUCGAUUAUAUGUUCAGCAAUCUUUCAAACAUGGUGAUUUUCAUUUUGAUUUAAUAUGAGCACCUCCUUAUUGUUUCCAUAGAAGAUAAAAGUAUGUCCUAUCAUAGAAUUCACCAACUAGUUUUAUGGUUAUUAUAUCCAAUAGGAUGAUGACAUCUUAUGAUAUUUAUAAGGGAAGCACUAAUCAGAUUUUUAAAGAUAUUUAUGGAUUUCUCAGCACCAGCGAAGUCAUUGCAUCAGCUUCCCAAGCUUAAAAAGAAAAUAGUUUUAAGGCCAUAAUGAAAAAGGCUAGCUGGUUUGCCAUUAAAAAGAACUGAGAAGUAAUCCUUCUUUCAAAUGAAGCAUUGUGCCUAUUACAUUUUGAGUUUACUAACUGAGACAACGUAAUUUGAAACUUAAUCCAUGUUUGAAUACCCUAGACCAUGGAUCUUGUCUUGUUUAUGGUAACAAAAGAAAACUUGGUUACACUAAGAGACAUCAAUAUUGUGUCUGCAAAUUAUGAAUUUUAUAACAUUCAAAACUUAUUUAAGCUUAAAUAUUUUAUAUUUGUUUCAAAACUU